GAUGAACGCUGGCGGCGUGCCUAACACAUGCAAGUUGAGCGAGAAAUCACUUAAAGAAGCUUCGGUAGACUUAAGAGAUGGAGAGCAGCGGACGGGUGAGUAACGCGUGGGAAACCUGCCCUUGACAGGAGGAUAGCCGAGAGAAAUUUCGAUUAAUACUUCAUAAAGCAGAGCAUUCGCAUGGAUGAACUGCCAAAGAAUUAUCGGUCAAGGAUGGUCCCGCGUCUGAUUAGCUGGUUGGUAAGGUAGCGGCUUACCAAGGCGACGAUCAGUAGCCGGCCUGAGAGGGUGAACGGCCACAUUGGAACUGAGACACGGUCCAGACUCCUACGGGAGGCAGCAGUGGGGAAUAUUGCACAAUGGGCGAAAGCCUGAUGCAGCAACGCCGCGUGAAGGAAGAAGGCUUUCGAGUUGUAAACUUCUGUCCAAAGGGAAGAAUAAUGACGGUACCUUUGAAGAAAGCCCCGGCUAACUACGUGCCAGCAGCCGCGGUAAUACGUAGGGGGCGAGCGUUAUCCGGAAUUACUGGGCGUAAAGAGUAUGUAGGUGGUUAAGUAAGCGUAGGGUUUAAGGCGACAGCCCAACUGUCGUAUGCCCCGCGAACUGUUUAACUUGAGUACAGGAGGGGAAGGCGGAAUUCCUAGUGUAGCGGUGAAAUGCGUAGAUAUUAGGAGGAACACCAGUGGCGAAGGCGGCCUUCUGGACUGUAACUGACACUGAGAUACGAAAGCGUGGGUAGCAAACAGG
rnacentral:rRNA from 1 species